GCAAGUUUAGUUUAACGGAAGAACAGCAGUCCCCAAAACUGUUAGGUAGUGGUUCGAAUCCAUUAACUUGUGCCA
rnacentral:tRNA from 1 species